rnacentral:rRNA from 1 species
CACGUAGGGGGCAAGCGUUGUCCGGAAUUAUUGGGCGUAAAGGGCGUGUAGGCGGUUAAUUAAGUCAGGUGUGAAAUCCCGGGGCUUAACCCCGUGACUGCACCUGAAACUGGUUAACUUGAGGGCAAGAGAGGAAAGCGGAAUUCCUAGUGUAGCGGUGAAAUGCGUAGAUAUUAGGAGGAACACCAGUGGCGAAGGCGGCUUUCUGGCUUGACCCUGACGCUGAGGCGCGAAAGCGUGGGGAGCAAACAGG